GGAACUAGAUGUGGGGACCAUUCCACGGUCUCCGUGUCGCAGCUAACGCAUUAAGUUCCCCGCCUGGGGAGUACGGCCGCAAGGCUAAAACUCAAAGGAAUUGACGGGGGCCCGCACAAGCGGCGGAGCAUGCGGAUUAAUUCGAUGCAACGCGAAGAACCUUACCAAGGCUUGACAUAUACCGGAAACAUGCAGAGAUGUGUGCCCCGCAAGGUCGGUAUACAGGUGGUGCAUGGUUGUCGUCAGCUCGUGUCGUGAGAUGUUGGGUUAAGUCCCGCAACGAGCGCAACCCUCGUUCUAUGUUGCCAGCACGUAAUGGUGGGAACUCAUAGGAGACUGCCGGGGUCAACUCGGAGGAAGGUGGGGAUGACGUCAAAUCAUCAUGCCCCUUAUGUCUUGGGCUUCACGCAUGCUACAAUGGCCGGUACAAAGGGCUGCGAUACCGUAAGGUGGAGCGAAUCCCAAAAAGCCGGUCUCAGUUCGGAUUGAGGUCUGCAACUCGACCUCAUGAAGUCGGAGUCGCUAGUAAUCGCAGAUCAACAACGCUGCGGUGAAUACGUUCCCGGGCCUUGUACACACCGCCCGUCAAGUCAUGAAAGUCGGUAACACCCGAAGCCAGUGGCCUAACCGCAAGGAAGGAGCUGUCGAAGGUGGGA
rnacentral:rRNA from 1 species